rnacentral:rRNA from 1 species
UACGGAGGGCGCAAUCGUUGUUCGGAAUUACUGGGCGUAAAGCGCGUGUAGGCGGCUUGGCAAGUCGGCUGUGAAAGCCCGGGGCUCAACCCCGGAGGGUCAGCCGAAACUGCCUCGCUCGAGUCCCGGAGAGGGUGGCGGAAUUUCCGGUGUAGAGGUGAAAUUCGUAGAUAUCGGAAGGAACACCAGUGGCGAAGGCGGCCACCUGGACGGUGACUGACGCUGAGACGCGAAAGCGUGGGGAGAAAACAGG